UCUAGCUUAUCUCUAAGGUCUAAUGCUGAAUAUUAUAUUUAAUUACAAAUAAAUUGGCAUUAUCUGAAAGGUUAGAAAAUUAGAAACAAACUUUCAUCUUUCUCUCUCUCCCUUAGGAAACCCAAAAGAGAUAAACUCUUCUCUCCUAAUUCAGACCAAAUUUUAGAGUGAUUGUAGCAAGGAUUCAAGUGUUAUUGAAGGGAUAACCUAAGGUAAGAGCUAGAAAUGAACUGGAACAAGUCUAAAACUGGAUGAAGAUUGUAAAUAUCAAGACGAUUAGACCUAGAGAGUUCAGGAUCUUUGAGACAGUUUAGGCUCACUUUUUGUUGAUCAUUGGGCAACAACUUAUGUAUUAUAUAUUUUGAAUAUAGUUGUAAACUUUUAACGAGAUCCCAGAGUUAUGUAAAUUAUGUUUGUUUAUUAAA